rnacentral:lncRNA from 1 species
CUUCCCCGCUGGCCUCAGGGGCGCACACUUGUAUACCCACCUAGGUGGGCGCCGCUGUACCCGGGAAUGCGGCCUGGGAGGGUGGAGCCACGCAGGCAGAGUCCUGGAGGAAUCUCCGUACCCGCUCCACUCGACUUCCGACAUUUUACCUUGGCUAAAAGUAUGGAGAGAACUUGGAAAAUCAGAGCUUUGUGGAACCUCCUACCGAUGUGGGCUUUGACCUGCCACGCGGCCGCGCGCCCUUUUUGUAGUCAGAGAGUGUGCCUCGCCCUUGUUUGUGUCGCUGGGGUCUAGCACUUGUGAGGCGUUCCAUUAAUGUUUGUUGGUGGGAGGAAUAAAUGUCUCAGAGGAAGGACAUGCCACGUAUACAGGGGAGAGUGACCCUCGUUCUUCGGUCUCUUCCCAGCUGCUCCCGUGACGUUAGGGAAAAGGCUCGCUUCACGCUCUCACCCGACCCAGUGUGAAGCGCCUCCAGCCACCGGAUACCUUCCCUAGCCCCAGUAAAAAGGUCGGGGAAGGAACGGGAAAGCCAAGGCCUACAAAUAUUUAAGUGACUGUUUAGCGAGAACUAAUAUUCGUUGAGUGCCCACUAUGUGGAACCAAGGACCUUGCAUGUGUUAUGUCAUUUAAUCGUAAAACUUGGCUCUACACUGAAGACAGUACUUCCCUUGCAGUUCUUUUUGUUUCUUUGGUUUUGUGGCUUUUUUGAGACAAAGUCUCGCUCUGUCGCUCAGGCUGGAGUGCGGGGGCACGAUCACGGCUCACUGCAGCCUUGACACUCCCAGGCUCAAGCGAUCCUCCUGCCUCAGUCUCCGGUGUAGCUGGAGCUGGUACCACGGGUCCGCGCUACCACGCCCAGCUAAUUUUUUUUUUGUAGAGCUGAGAUUUCACUAUGUUGCCCAGGCUGGUCUCCUGGGCUCAAGCUAUACUCCUACCUCGGCCUCCUAAAGUGCUGGUAUUACAUGCAUUAACCACAGUGCAUGGCCCCUUGCUCUCUUAAAAGAUUGUAAGUUUAUUCUCCCACACUAAACAUAUCCCAGGGUUAAGUUUUGAGGUCACCUUCUUAGAUCCCUAAUUUGCCACCCUUUUCCAAAAAAAAAAAAAAAAAAAAAAAAAACCUCUGUGGAAGUUGGUUCCAUCAGAUUAUACCCCUCUCUAUCUCGUGGCUUUUUAUCUACCGUACCCCUAUUUCUACCGUGUCAUUCAUUGAAAUUGUUAACACUUGGUGCACGGUCUUCAGCCAAUAAUCCUGAAAUACUUCAAUAUCUACGAGCAUGACUUAUCCCAUACCCUGACCUCUUUGCUCCUUGAUCUCAUCUUCAGUAAACUUGACCUCUGCACCAAUUUAGGACGUUCUCCAGACAGAUAAAACACCAUAACUUCAUAGGUACGAUUGUAAACUCAAACACUUUGUCUUUGAUCAUAACUGCUGUCCUCUCUCCCUUCUCAUUCAGUUAAUUAUCUUAUAUCUUGUAUUAGUUACAUAACAAUUUGCCCCAAAACUUAAAUACUAAAGAAAACAAUAAGCAUUUAUCUCACAGUUUUUGUGGGUAAGGAAUCUGGGGUGGGUGCCUGCCUUUUCCUCCAGGUCUUCUCUUAUAAAGCUGCAGUCAAGGUGUCAAGGGGAGUUGGGAAGGGGACUGUGGUCUCAUCUGAAGGUCCUCCUCUGACUGAAGGUAGAUUGCUUCCCAAGCUCACUCAUAGUUGCUGACAGAAUUCAGUUCCUCAAGAUGUUGGACUAAGAGCCUCAGUUUUUCAGUGGUUCAGUUUCCUUCUACAUGGGUCUCUCCAUAGGGCAACUCACAACAUAACAGCUGGUUUCCAUCAGAGCAAGUGAGAGACAACAGAGGACAAGCGUUAACUAGAAUUUAAAGUCCCUGAACUCACUACCCUUGCUUUACCAGCUCCCCUCUGCCUUCUCCUGGAUCCUUGGCUAGACUCCAUGCACUGUCCAUCAUUUUAGCCCCUUUCCUACCAAUAUCUUCAUCUGUAAUUCCCAUUGUCUUUCACUGGGCCCACCUGUCAAAACCUCAACUCUAGGCCCUCUAUAGCUCUCUACUUUCUUCAAACCUACCACUUACCUGGAGAAAACACUCAAUUCUGCAGGUUGGUGCCACAGUGAAUUAAUUAAUGGGCCCUCACACGGUGCCUGGAAUUUCUUCUCUUUAUUCAGUCAGUUCAGCCUUGAACUCUAUUGAGUUUGUUUUAACUGACUCCACUGUUUCCCACACUCUGAAAGUGAUAAGGCCUCCUACUUGGGAGAAAAAAUCAUCAAGAACUCCUUCAAUUUCCCAC